UAUGGAGGGUGCAAACGUUGCUCGGAAUUAUUGGGCGUAAAGCGCACGUAGGCGGCCUAGCAAGUCGGGUGUGAAAUCCCUCGGCUUAACCGAGGAAGUGCAUUCGAAACUACAAGGCUUGAAUACUGAAGAGGGUCUCGGAAUUCCCGGUGUAGAGGUGAAAUUCGUAGAUAUCGGGAGGAACACCAGUGGCGAAGGCGGAGACCUGGGCAGAUAUUGACGCUGAGGUGCGAAAGCGUGGGGAGCAAACAGG
rnacentral:rRNA from 1 species